rnacentral:rRNA from 1 species
UAGGGAAUCUUCCACAAUGGGCGAAAGUCUGAUGGAGCAACGCCGCGUGAGUGAAGAAGGGUUUCGGCUCGUAAAACUCUGUUGUUAAAGAAGAACAUAUCUGAGAGUAACUGUUCAGGUAUUGACGGUAUUUAACCAGAAAGCCACGGCUAACUACGUGCCAG